rnacentral:rRNA from 1 species
AUACGUAGGGGGCGAGCGUUGUCCGGAAUGAUUGGGCGUAAAGGGCGCGUAGGCGGCCCGGUAAGUCUGGAGUGAAAGUCCUGUUUUUAAGAUGGGAAUUGCUUUGGAUACUGUCGGGCUUGAGUGCAGGAGAGGGAAGUGGAAUUCCCAGUGUAGCGGUGAAAUGCGUAGAGAUUGGGAGGAACACCAGUGGCGAAGGCGACUUACUGGACUGUAACUGACGCUGAGGCGCGAAAGUGUGGGGAGCAAACAGGAUUAGAUACCCUGGUAGUCCACACUGUAAACGAUGAAUGCUAGGUGUAGGGGGUAUCGACCCCUUCUGUGCCGCAGUCAACACAAUAAGCAUUCCGCCUGGGGAGUACGGCCGCAAGGUUGAAACUUAAAGGAAUUGGCGGGG